UAAUAAGUGUUUUAUGGCACUUUUUAAAUCCAUAUCCACCUUGUGUGCAAUGCCGGUCGAUCUUCUUUUUUUUGAGGAUCGACCAAACAUCAACCUUUAUUUUUUAACUCUUUGUCUGAAGAAUAUUAUGAAUAAACAAUUCAAAAUA
rnacentral:misc_RNA from 1 species